rnacentral:rRNA from 1 species
UAGGUGGAUUAGUGGCGCACGGGUGAGUAAUAUAUAGAUAACGUGCCUCUUAGUCUGGGAUAGCCAUUGGAAACGAUGAUUAAUACUAGAUACUCCUUCUAACUCUAAUGUGAGUUGGGAAAGUUUUUCGCUAAGAGAUCGGUCUAUAUCCCAUCAGCUAGUUGGUAGUGUAAGAGACUACCAAGGCAAUGACGGGUAGCGGGUUUGAGAGGAUGAUCCGCCACACUGGUACUGAGACACGGACCAGACUCCUACGGGAGGCAGCAGUGAGGAAUAUUGCACAAUGGAGGAAACUCUGAUGCAGCAACGCCGCGUGGAGGAUGACGCAUUUCGGUGUGUAAACUCCUUUUAUAUGUCAAGAAAAUGACGGUAGCAUAUGAAUAAGCACCGGCUAACUCCGUGCCAGCAGCCGCGGUAAUACGGAGGGUGCAAGCGUUAUUCGGAAUCACUGGGCGUAAAGGACGCGUAGGCGGGAUGCCAAGUCUGAUGUGAAA